GUUAGCUUAAUUUUUAACAAAUAUACAAAGUUUGGAAGAAUAAUAAUAGUUCAAUAAGGAGUAAUUGGCUCUAAGAGAUUGGCAUCAAGGUUAAAAAAUGAGGUCAGUAGAUACCCAAGGAUAUUUUUGAGAUUAUCAUCUAUUUGGUUAUUUCGAUCCUUUUUUAAUUUUUUUUGUGCUUAUUUUCAACUUAAUUGUUGAGAGGUAUGUAAAAUUUGAGUUAAAAUUGACGGUUUAUUCAUUAAUUAUUGAGGUUUAAAUUUACUAUAGGAAUUACUUGGAAUUGAUUAGGAUUUAAUUUAGGAUUUGGUUUAAGGUUAGGAUUAGGAUUUUGGAUUGAUUUAAGGUUUGAUUACGGUUAGGAUUUGGUUUAAGUUGGUAUUUAUUUAGGAUUUAUUUAGAAUUUGACUAAGAUUUAUUUAGAAUUUGAUUAAGAUUUUUUUAAGAUUUGAUUAAGAUUCGAUUAGGAUUUGACUUAAGUUUUAUUUAGGAUUUGAUUAGAAUUUGGUUGGAAUUAUUUAGGGUUUGAUUAGGAUUUGAUAAGGAUUUGACUAAGAUUUGAGUAAGGUUUGACUAAGAUUUGGUCAAGGUUUGACUAGAUUUUGACUAAGAUUUAAUUAAGAUUUUUAUUUUAAUAUUUUAUUAAGAUUUCUAUUUUAGUAAAUUUUUUUGAAUUUCUAUGUUAUUUCUUUAUGAUUUCUUUAAAAGGUCUUUAAGAAUUCUUUAUAUUUCUUAUAUAAUUCUUUUAAAAUUUUAAUUAAAUUUGAUUGAUGUUUGAUUAUAUUUUCUAAUUUUUAAUU
rnacentral:lncRNA from 1 species